rnacentral:rRNA from 1 species
UACGUAGGUGGCAAGCGUUGUCCGGAUUUACUGGGCGUAAAGAGCGCGCAGGCGGUCGUUCAAGUCGCGUGUGAAAGCCCCCGGCUCAACUGGGGAGGGUCACGCGAUACUGAUCGACUCGAAGGCAGGAGAGGGAAGUGGAAUUCCCGGUGUAGUGGUGAAAUGCGUAGAUAUCUGGAGGAAUACCGGUGGCGAAGGCGGCAUCCUGGACCGGCAUUGACGCUGAGGAGCGAAAGCUAGGGGAGCAAACGGG